ensembl:misc_RNA Y_RNA Y RNA
GGCUGGUCCGGGUGCGGUGGUGUUUGCAACUAGUUGAUGACAGCCAGAGAUUUGUUUCUUCUCCACUCCCGCUGUGUCACUUGACCAGCUUUAA